rnacentral:tRNA from 7 species
GAUCCCGUAGCUUAAUUGGAUAGAGCAAAAGCUUGCGGAGCUUUAGGUUGAGAGUUCAAGUCUCUCCGGGAUCA